AUUGGGUGGUGCUGUGGGGAGAUGAGUGGUCAGGCUUAAGCCAGCCUUGCCAGUGACGCCUGGGACUAGAAGCGGGGGAUGGGCAGCUGUGCCACUCUGUCAAGAUGCCUUUGUGGGUCGCCAUUCCACACUCACAGCAUAGCCCACUUCACUGAGGGGCUAAAAGGUUAGUGAGACACUGGGCCUAGGAAGACUGCGUUGCCAUGGCACUCACUGCCGUGGGAUGCAGAGAUGGGAAUGAGUGGCACUGCUAGGGAUACAGCUGGUUUGGCAAAAAAAAAGGGGGGCCCUGGCAGUUGCCAGGACGCUAGGGGCAGGGUCUACAGGCGGGGCUCCUGGAAAUAAAGACUCCCAGAGGCAGUGCGGCGAAGGGAGGGGCGGAAGUGACGUCGUGUGGGGCGGGUCCAACCGCGCACAAUGGGCCAUGGAGUUCCCGUUCGAUGUGGACGCGCUGUUCCCGGAGCGGAUCACGGUGCUGGACCAGCACCUGAGGCCCCCAGCCCGCCGACCCGGAACCACAACGCCGGCCCGUGUUGAUCUACAGCAGCAAAUUAUGACCAUUAUAGAUGAACUGGGCAAGGCUUCUGCCAAGGCCCAGAAUCUUUCCGCUCCCAUCACUAGUGCAUCAAGGAUGCAGAGUAACCGCCAUGUUGUUUAUAUUCUCAAAGACAGUUCAGGCCGACCGGCUGGAAAAGGAGCCAUUAUUGGGUUCAUCAAAGUUGGAUACAAGAAGCUCUUUGUACUGGAUGAUCGUGAGGCUCAUAAUGAGGUAGAACCACUUUGCAUCCUGGACUUUUAUAUCCAUGAGUCUGUGCAACGCCAUGGCCAUGGGCGAGAACUCUUCCAGUAUAUGUUGCAGAAGGAGCGAGUGGAACCGCACCAACUCGCCAUUGACCGACCCUCACAGAAGCUGCUGAAAUUCCUGAAUAAACACUACAAUCUGGAGACCACAGUGCCACAGGUGAACAACUUUGUGAUCUUUGAAGGCUUCUUUGCCCAUCAACAUCGGCCCCCUGCUCCCUCUCUGAGGGCAACUCGACACUCUCGUGCUGCUGCAGUCGAUCCCACGCCCACUGCUCCAGCAAGGAAGCUGCCACCCAAGAGAGCAGAGGGAGACAUCAAGCCAUACUCCUCUAGUGACCGAGAAUUUCUGAAGGUAGCUGUGGAGCCUCCUUGGCCCCUAAACAGGGCCCCUCGCCGUGCCACACCUCCAGCCCACCCACCCCCCCGAUCCAGCAGCCUGGGAAACUCACCAGAACGAGGUCCCCUCCGCCCCUUUGUGCCAGAGCAGGAGCUGCUGCGUUCCUUGCGCCUCUGCCCCCCACACCCUACCGCCCGCCUUCUGCUGGCUGCUGACCCUGGGGGCAGCCCAGCCCAACGUCGUCGUACCAGCUCCCUUCCCCGCUCUGAGGAGAGUCGAUACUGACAGCUACCCUCUCCCUUCCCUGGGAGACCUGGGGUGGGCAGAGACCCCCUCCCUGAGAACCUCACACCUACUCUUCCAUUGCAUCCUGUAGGACCCAGUGGAACCUGACAGAGCCCACAGGAUUCCCUCUUCUACUUUCUUAGACAAUAGGGAUGUCAGGGUCUCAAAUUGCCUAACACUUUGUAGCUUUUCUUACCACAAAAGCACCCCUUCUGUCCUAACUUGGGCUCUGAAUACUUUCCCCACAGACAGCCUGAUCUGUUGCCAGACCUCUUGGUUGGAUGGCUCAUACAUUUAUCUAGAGAAGCACACUCUUGCUUGCUGUCAAACUUCAGAACACCAUAGAAGGUCUAAGGGCGUCCUGUGUCAGGGAAACUUUUUAAGGAAUUUCAUCCAUGGGAUAAACCCCAUAUUCCCUCUAGUGUCUACGGGUGGCUCUAAUACUGCUUUGUGCUGCCUGCCACACUUGCCCUUUGAGCCUGCGAAUGACCACCAGUGAGCAAGCUCUGCUUCAGAGCAGUCUAGUUAGGUAGAACAGGGACUUACCAGCUUCCCAAAGGGAUCUACUCAACAUUGCCAAACUCUUCAUUUCCACACUUUGUGUAGGUGUCAGGGAACCCCAAACUGGUGUUGCUUUGGGGUCUCUAAAGGAGACUGGCUGACACCACCAUUUCCCCCAGAUCCAGAUUCUCUGAGGGAAGUUGUUUCUUGAGAGUAGAUCCAGAGUCUCAAGGAUCUGUUAGAUCCUGGAAUCCCCUCUUGCAUCCAUCCCUCCCUGGUAGCUAGAUGCCGAUAUACUCCUGUCUUGUGAGAUUGUCGAGAUGAGAUGGGGGACCACUCUUCCUCUGUCCUUCCUCUCUCCUUUUCUCCAUAGCAAGGAUGACCUUCCCUGCUCCAUGCCCAGAGUAUAGCUAGAUCCCUUCCCCUCCCUACCCUCUGAAUGUGUGCUAGAUCAGGUACCCCACUGUGUUUCCUGAAAUCCUUGGGAGCCGGAUCUCCCCUUCUCCCCUACUCACUCUUCCCUUUUCUUCUCCCUCUCAGUGUUGUCUGAAUAAAGUGUGAAUUCUUUUGUGUUUUCUAAAUUGACAUUUUCAAUGAAAAAAAGAAUCAC